rnacentral:rRNA from 1 species
CAGCAGCCACGGGAAUACAGAGGGUGCAAGCGUUAAUCGGAAUUACUGGGCGUAAAGGGCGCGUAGGUGGUUGCGUAAGUGAGAUGUGAAAGCCCCGGGCUCAACCUGGGAAUGGCAAUGGAUACUGGCGAGCUAGAGUGUGUCAGAGGAUGGUGGAAUUCCCGGUGUAGCGGUGAAAUGCGUAGAGAUCGGGAGGAACAUCAGUGGCGAAGGCGGCCAUCUGGGACAACACUGACGCUGAGGCACGAAAGCAUGGGGAGCAAACAGGAUUAGAUACCCCUGUAGUCCCUGUCUCUUAUAC